UACAGAGGUCUCAAGCGUUGUUCGGAUUCAUUGGGCGUAAAGGGUGCGUAGGUGGCGCUGUAAGUCGGGUGUGAAAUUUCGGAGCUUAACUCCGAAACUGCAUUCGAUACUGCGGUGCUUGAGGACUUGGAGAGGAGACGUGGAAUUCGAUGGUGUAGCAGUGAAAUGCGUAGAGAUCAUGAGGAAGACCAGUGGCGAAGGCGGGUCUCUGGACAGUUCCUGACACUGAGGCACGAAGGCCAGGGGAGCAAACGGG
rnacentral:rRNA from 1 species